AUGUGGGAGCCGAGUACCGGAGACACUCAGGGGUUACUCGAGGGGUCAAGUCACCACCUCCGGGCAACGCUGGCAAGCCUGCCCCUCUGCGGCGGCAGCGACCCGGGCUUCUGCACCCCCCACCCCCGCGGGGCGAGCUGCAGGCGCGGCUCCCCUCCCCGCCCCUCCCCGCGCAGGGCGAGCUGCAAGCGGCCUCCCCCCCGAGCGGGGCGAGCUGCGGGCGGACCCCCAACCCCCACCACCCGGGAGGGUGAGCUGCAGGCAGGGCCCCCCCACGCGCAGGGCGAGCUGCAGGCGGCCCCUCCUCGGCAGGGCGAGCUGCAGGCGGCCUCCCCCCCCCGAGCGGGGCGAGCUGCGGGCGGACCCCCAACCCCCACCACCCGGGAGGGUGAGCUGCAGGCAGGGCCCCCCCACGCGCAGGGCGAGCUGCAGGCGCGAUUCCCGCCCCCCCAGCGGGGCGAGCUGCAGGCGGACCCCCUUCGGCAGGGCGAGCGGCGGGCGGGCCCCCUCCACGCACAGGACGAGCUGCAGGCGGAACCCCCUCGGCAGGGCGAGUUGCAGGCGGGCCCACCCCGGGCAGGGCGAGCUGCAAGCGGGUACCCCCCCCCUUGGCAGGGCGAGCUGCAGGCGGGUACCCCACCCUCGGCAGGGCGAGCUGCAGGCGGGUUCUCCUCUCCCCCGGCAGGGCGAGCUGCAGGCGGGCCCACCCCGGGCAGGGCGAGCUGCAAGCGGGUACCCCCCCCCUUGGCAGGGCGAGCUGCAGGCGGGUACCCCACCCUCGGCAGGGCGAGCUGCAGGCGGGUUCUCCUCUCCCCCGGCAGGGCGAGCUGCAGGCGGGUUCUCCCCUCCCCCGGCAGGGCGAGCUGCAGGCGGGUACCCCCCCUUGGCAGGGCGAGCUGCAGGCGGGUACCCCCCCUCGGCAGGGCGAGCUGCAGGCGGGUUCUCCCCUCCCCCGGCAGGGCGAGCUGCAGGCGGGUACCCCCCCUCCCUUGGCAAGGCGAGCUGCAGGCGGGUACCCCCCUCGGCAGGGCGAGCUGCAGGCGGGUUCUCCCCUCCCCCGGCAGGGCGAGCUGCAGGCGGGCCCCCCCUGGUCAGGGCGAGCUGCAGGCGGGUGGCCCCCCCUGGGCAGGGCGAGCUGCAGGCGGGUACCCCCCCCCGGCAGGGCGAGCUGCAGGAGCGGCCCCCUCCCCCGCGGCGCGGCCGGCUCCCCUCGCAGCAGCCGGCGGCGGAGAGCCCGCGGCGCCCCGGGGCCCUGGAGCCGGCCGCAGCCGCAGGCCCCGGCCAGGCGGCCCGGGCGGCGGAGGCCGCGGGGCCCGCGAGCCGCGAGCGCGGGGCGCCGAGGGGAGGCGGGGCGAGGCCGCGGGGCGGAGGGGGCGGGAGGUGCAUCCUGGGAAAUCCACCAACAUGGGGCGAAGCGGCCGCCGCCGCUGCCGCCGCCGCCGCCGCCGCCGUCGCGAGUCCCGGCCGCGGACGCCGCCGCCGCCGCUGCCCUGA
rnacentral:lncRNA from 1 species